rnacentral:lncRNA from 1 species
UAUACCACUACUUUUUAUAUGUAAAUCCCACAUAAGUAAGCGAUUGUCAUGGAAGCUUUUCUUGACUUUGGCCACACUCUUGCAUCCACAACCAACUUGUGCUACCAAGCGAACAAACUAUGACUAAAGGACUGUUCUUCCACUUUGCAGCUGCUCCUAUCAGUGACAAAUCAGCGUAUUAGAACAUGCAUGCUGGCUGAUCAUUCUGAUCAAGUCAACAAGCUUCACAACUUACUCAAUGAGGUCGUCCGUGAGAACUUCACUGUUUUACGGGGACAGGAGCUACUUCUUUGCUGAACUGCAUCACGGUUUCAACUGCUGAGGUUUUCUUCAAGCUUUUGCAUUGUUUGGAAUGUGAAAGGCACGGCCGAGACACACUUUGAGGUUCCCACUGCAUUGUUACACCUCCCCCCUCACUUCAGGGCCAGGUAACACCAAGAAGGACGCCAUGAGAGCGAAGGCCGGUGGGUCACCGCCCUUUGCUCUCGUGCUGCGCGUCUCCCUGCCAUCAACCGCCGCAACCGGCGCUGGGAGCGGUUGAGGGCGGCCGGCCUCGCGCUGGAACCUCGCCCGCCUCAAGGCUCCUGCGGCGGCACACGGGGCAGGCCAGGAGCCCGCCCUAGGAGGGCCCCGCUGGAGAUGUGGAAAUGGAGGGACGCGGCACCUGGGUGCUUCCUGGGGCCAGACAACGCCCCCUCAUUGGAACCUCCAUGACCGUGCCUCUGAGAAACCAGCGCGUCCGCAACGAUCACUCCUAAUUUUCGGAUUCCUAUCAUCUGUCUCCACGUGAUAACACUGAAGAGCCUUCACGUUGAUGCAGUCCCAGGGCCUCAAGUGCAGAGUCUGAGAGCUCUGCAGGACACAGCAUGGAGCCGCCAUUCCUCUACUGGGUGGAGGAGCAUGUGUCCUCUGAACAGGGGAUCCAAGCCCUGAGAUGUUCUUUCUCAGCUGUCAGUGCGGCCCAGGACUUUCUGUGGGGAUGCUCAGACAGCAGGGGCCGGAGGACUUUUAGCCACCACCUCCCAUGGCCAGUCUUCACAAAUUACCUUUGGCUAAUUUGACUGUCUCUCCUCCUGGGGUCUAGGACUUCAAACAUGUACAGAAGCGAUUGCAGAAUUAAGACAAGACACUUCCACAAUAUAUUUUUUGUAUCACUGGCUCAGAAAAAGACUCAUUCAAAUCCUGUAUCAAAGCCACGUGUGAGAAUCUUGAGAAAGCAUCAGCUGACUGACUUGACAAGGGAGGAAGCAACCAAAAAUUCUGCGCUUCUUCAGUAUCUGAGUAUGAUAUUUUGCUUCAACAUCCCUCUUAGAUGAAGUUAUUGAUUGAAAAUCAUUUAAGUUUGCCCCAUGGUAAAAGAUCAAGUCCUCAGAAAGAUCUCCAAAGUGUUUACGGUUUGUUUUGUUUUGGUAAGUUUACCAUGAUUUUGCUUGAAUUGCUCUCCGUUGAUCUUCUCAGCUAAGAUGGAGGUAGAGUUGCACAGUGGAAGAGGGCUGCAUGUAAGAAGGCAGUUCUGUCUCAGAGGACAAAAGGCCUGGGAGCACCCAGACAGUCACUGCAUGGAGGUCACUCCCCUCCCAGUGGCCACUGUGGAGACAUUUCACAGAAAUGCUUGCUGGACCAUUCAGGUUCAGAGUUGGGACAAAACCGAGAACUCAUGGGGAUAUUGGACAGGAGUUAGGAAAUGACCUUCUCACACAACUGGGGCAGUGGGGGAGAACCCUGGGCUUGAGACUUGCAAUCCACCACUUGCCCCUGCCCCUGCCCCUGCAGUGUGGCCGCUGUUACAUUUUCCUGCAACUCUGCCUUCUUGAGUCCAAAU